GGCCACGGUGCAGGAGGCCAGGGGAAGGGACAAAAACUGCACACGAGAGAGCACGAAAAAGGAAGAGAGAUUGCAGGACAUUUCAUCAUUUAGACAGGAAGCAGUUUUGAGGAUGGAGUGUGGAGGAGGGGACGUGGGAUAUCAAGAUAAUGAUUUAGAGCUCCUCACCUCCUUCCUCUUCCCUUCUGUAGCCUCCAGCACCUGCCGUGUGACGCUCUCCUUAAGGUCCUCCAGCAUGUUUGACCUACAUUCGUCUCUGGGGACAUCCUGAAGACAGAAGAAGAGCCUCAUCGGCCACCAGGAUGGCCUCCCAGACUUUGGCCCUGGCUUCAUACGUCUCCUGUUCCAGUUUGGCACAGCAUUUCAACAGCUCAUCCAUCUUUUGUUCAGAGGUCGUGUGCUCCUUGAGAAUGUCGU